rnacentral:rRNA from 1 species
UACGGAGAGUGCAAGCGUUGUUCGGAAUUAUUGGGCGUAAAGCGCGUGUAGGCGGUCCAACAAGUCUGGCGUGAAAGCCUCGAGCUCAACUCGGGAAGUGCGCUGGAAACUGUCGGACUUGAGUACCGGAGGGGGAAGGGGAAUUCUCGAGUGUAGAGGUGAAAUUCGUAGAUAUUCGGAAGAACAUCAGUGGCGAAGGCGCCUUCCUGGACGGAUACUGACGCUGAGACGCGAAAGCGUGGGUAGCAAACAGG